GUGCUCACUUCGGCAGUACAUACACUAAAAUUGGAAAGAUACAGAGAAGAUUAGCAUGGCCCCUGUGCAAGGAUGACAUGCAAAUUCGUGAAGCGCUCCGUAUUUUU
rnacentral:snRNA from 1 species